rnacentral:lncRNA from 1 species
CUGAGUGCCUUGGGUCCAACUGUUCUGAGUGCAGCGGGUCCUCUAGGAUGGGUCUGGAUACGGUGUCUUCACAGAAGCAGACCAACUAGAAGUCUGCCCCCAGAAGAAAGGACCAGGCAGAAGGGGUAGAAGGCACUGAGUGGAGUGGUAUUCAGGAAGGCAGGGGUUUUGGUGGGCAAUGGGACCAGAGUCCACUAGGCUCCCAGCAGCAGUUCUGGGACUUGUGGAGGGAUGGGGGAUUCUUACCAACCACUCUGAGCGAAGUGCUGUAGAAUGGAUCUAGAUAUGGAGUCUUCACAGGAGCAGACCACAUAGGGGUCUGCCCCAACAGCAAGGACCAGGCAGAAAGGAGCAUCAUAGGAAAGAGGUCACUGUGAGCAUGUCCGUGAAGCAUGUUCAUGAAGCGGCAUUUGGGAUCCCAGCCCUUCCUGUCCCACUCUUUGUUUCCUGGCUUCCAGAAGGU